UCUUAAAGAUUAAGCCAUGCAUGUCUAAGUACAUACCGUUUUAAGGUGAAMCYGCGRAWGGMUCAUUAAAUCAGUUACGGUUUUAUAGAUAUUUAACGUCUACAUGGAUAACUGUGGUAAUUCUAGAGCUAAUACAUGCAAAAAAGCCUCGACCUUAACGGAAAAGGCGCACUUAUUAGACCAAGACCAACGGGGCUUCGGCUCCUUGAGAUGGUGACUCUGGAUAAUUAUGCUGAUCGCAUGGCCUACGAGCCGGCGAUAAAUCUUUCAAGUGUCUGCCUUAUCAACUGUCGAUGGUAGGUUAUGCGCCUACCAUGGUUGUAACGGGUAACGGGGAAUCAGGGUUCGAUUCCGGAGAGGGAGCCUGAGAAACGGCUACCACAUCCAAGGAAGGCAGCAGGCGCGCAAAUUACCCACUCCCGGCACGGGGAGGUAGUGACGAAAAAUAACAAUACAGGACUCUUUUGAGGCCCUGUAAUUGGAAUGAGAACAAUCUAAAUCCUUUAACGAGGAUCAAUUGGAGGGCAAGUCUGGUGCCAGCAGCCGCGGUAAUUCCAGCUCCAAUAGCGUAUAUUAAAGUUGUUGCGGUUAAAAAGCUCGUAGUUGGAUCUCAGUUCACGCUCAGGGGUCCACUUCGACGUGGCCACCUCUUAGCUGAACAUUUUACCGUUGUUUUCUCUUGGUUCCCUUAACCGGGCGCCAUGAGUGACCGGUACGUUUACUUUGAAAAAAUUAGAGUGCUUAAAGCAGUCGCUAUUGACCGAAUAAUCUUGCAUGGAAUAAUGGAAUAGGACUUCGAUUCUAUUUUGUUGGUCUUCGGAAUCCGAAGUAAUGAUUAAGAGGGACAGACGGGGGCAUUCGUAUUGCGGCGCUAGAGGUGAAAUUCUUGGACCGUCGCAAGACGAACUACAGCGAAAGCAUUUGCCAAGAAUGUUUUCAUUGAUCAAGAACGAAAGUCAAAGGUUCGAAGGCGAUCAGAUACCGCCCUAGUUUUGACUGUAAACGAUGCCAACUAGCGAUCAGCCUGAGUUCCAUCAAUGACUCGGCUGGCAGCUUCCGGGAAACCAAAGUUUUUCGGUUCCGGGGGAAGUAUGGUUGCAAAGCUGAAACUUAAAGGAAUUGACGGAAGGGCACCACCAGGAGUGGAGCCUGCGGCUUAAUUUGACUCAACACGGGAAAACUUACCCGGCCCGGACACUGGAAGGAUUGACAGAUUGAGAGCUCUUUCUUGAUUCAGUGGGUGGUGGUGCAUGGCCGUUCUUAGUUGGUGGAGCGAUUUGUCUGGUUAAUUCCGAUAACGAACGAGACUCUAGCCUAUUAAAUAGACUGUCGGUCAACAUAUUACCGACAGGAGCUUCUUAGAGGGACAGGCGGCGGUUCAGCCGCACGAAACAGAGCAAUAACAGGUCUGUGAUGCCCUUAGAUGUCCGGGGCCGCACGCGCGCUACWCUGAAGUGAUCAGCGUGCAUGAUUCACCCUGUCUGUCAAGACUGGGCAACCCAUUGAACCUACUUCGUGAUUGGGAUUGGGCAUUGUAAUUAUUGCCCAUGAACGAGGAAUUCCCAGUAAAUGCGAGUCAUUAGCUCGCGUUGAUUACGUCCCUGCCCUUUGUACACACCGCCCGUCGCUACUACCGAUUGAAUGAUUUAGUGAGGUCUUCGGACUGGCCGACGUGGCUGCUCUCACGGGCAGCAGCGUUGCGUUGGAAAGAUGCCCAAACUUGAUCAUUUAGAGGAAGUAAAAGUCGUAA
rnacentral:rRNA from 1 species